UACAGAGGGGGCGAGCGUUGUUCGGAAUUACUGGGCGUAAAGGGCGCGUAGGCGGCCAACUAAGUCAGACGUGAAAUCCCUCGGCUCAACCGGGGAACUGCGUCUGAUACUGGAUGGCUUGAAUUCGGGAGAGGGAUGCGGAAUUCCAGGUGUAGCGGUGAAAUGCGUAGAUAUCUGGAGGAACACCGGUGGCGAAGGCGGCAUCCUGGACCGAGAUUGACGCUGAGGAGCGAAAGCCAGGGGAGCGAACGGG
rnacentral:rRNA from 1 species